rnacentral:rRNA from 1 species
GUGAGGAAUUUUCCGCAAUGGGCGAAAGCCUGACGGAGCAAUGCCGCGUGAAGGAUGAAGGCCUAUGGGUUGUAAACUUCUUUUCUCAGAAAAGAAUUAUGACGGUAUCUGAGGAAUAAGCAUCGGCUAACUCUGUGCCAGCAGCCGCGGUAAGACAGAGGAUGCAAGCGUUAUCCGGAAUGAUUGGGCGUAAAGCGGCUGUAGGUUGUUUAAAAAGUAUUCUGUCAAAGAUUAGGGCUUAACCCUAGAUAGGCAGAAUAAACUUUUAAGCUAGAGUUUGGUAGAGGCAGAGGGAAUUCCCGGUGGAGCGGUGAAAUGCGUAGAUAUCGGGAGGAACACCAAAGGCGAAGGCACUCUGCUGGGCCAAUACUAACACUGAGAGACGAAAGCGAGGGGAGCAAAUGGGAUUAGAAACCCCAGUAGUCC